rnacentral:rRNA from 1 species
UACGUAGGGGGCAAGCGUUAUCCGGAUUUACUGGGUGUAAAGGGAGCGCAGACGGCAGUGCAAGUCUGGAGUGAAAGCCCGGGGCUCAACCCCGGGACUGCUUUGGAAACUGCAUAGCUGGAGUGCAGGAGAGGUAAGUGGAAUUCCUAGUGUAGCGGUGAAAUGCGUAGAUAUUAGGAGGAACACCAGUGGCGAAGGCGGUCUGCUGGACAGCAACUGACGCUGAGGCGCGAAAGCGUGGGGAGCAAACAGG